UUAAUUGGGGGUGAGCGUGGACAGGAAGGCAGGCAAGAAAAGAGUGAAGGGGAGGGUUUCAUCAGAACCGAGGGAGGGGGAAAAGUGGGGAGAGGAAUAAGUAUGAUGAUGAUACAUGAUCGGGUUUGAUAUCCAUCCUUUGUAAAAUAUGCCUCCUGUAGCCUUCCCUCUACGAGUAGGAUUCCAACCAUCAGUCGAUUCUGUUCAGAUUUCUUCUCUGCCGUCUUCUCUUCUCAUUUUCUUUUUAACCUAACUUACCCUUCUCUCUCUCUCUCUCUCUCUCUCUCUCUCUCUGAAAAGAGUACUGAAACCUAGCUCUCAAUAAAUUAAUUACACCCACAACCUCCCAUCCCAUUUAUUGUGAGCACGUAAUAAAAUAAAUAGAACCAUCUGCCCCUCCUAACCCUAAUCAGCCUUCACUCCUCUCCAAUAUAUACGUACGUUAUCGCUGUCCAUCUCCAUCUCUUUCUGUGUUAGAAGAAUUGUAUGCGUGGGUCUCGUGGCGAGCUCUGUAAACGUGGAUGAUCACGUGGGUUUCGCAAAGCGUUUCUUACAGAGUUCUUUGGCAUUCUGUCCACCUCCUCUUUCUUCGAUCUCUUUCUCCCUCACUUGCUGUGUAUGUAUGUGGUUUAAUGGAUGGAGGUGGGCAUGCUGCCAACAGAGUUCUGUUGGCUUCUCUUUGUAAAACCCUCGUGAGGGUAUAUGUAUAUAUGUAUCGUUGCGCAGUACUCGAUCUUCCUCGAGACACAAGGGGAGCGGGACAGAGGGGGCCCAAACAACGUAACCAAAUCAAUUAACCUAUAGCUAGGGUCAUCAACUCCUAAGAGAUCAUAUCGGGGGACGCGAAGGAAGCAAGACGAGGGAGGUCAAGGACUCUAAACAAAGGUAGCAUUUGAUGAUGGACAAGAAAUAUCAUUAGAACGCUGUCAGACCAAAAGUGAUGGCUAAGGCUUCCUCAAGUGUUGUUAUCUUUGACAUUAAUGUUAUCUUUAUUAGCAGUGAUUCCUGUUUCUUUUCUUUUCUUUUCUGAUGUGUAAUGAUGCUGAUUACAAGAUUAAAUCAAUACCAAUACAAAGGGGUAUAUUAGUGA